CGAAGCCCGUGAGCCAUGCGUCAAGAAAAGCCGCUAUCGUUCAUAUUGUACCCGUACCGUAAACCGACACAGGUGGAUGAGGAGAGAAUCCUAAGGCCGGCGGAAGAAGUAUUGCCAAGGAACUCGGCAAAAUGGCCCCGUAACUUAGGGAGAAGGGGUGCCUGCGAGAGCAGGCCGCAGAGAAUAGGCUCAAGCAACUGUUUAGCAAAAACACAGGUCUAUGCGAAACCGAAAGGUGAGGUAUAUGGGCUGACGCCUGCCCGGUGCUGGAAGGUUAAGAGGAGAGGUUAGACGUAAGUCGAAGCUUUGAAUUUAAGCCCCAGUAAACGGCGGCCGUAACUAUAACGGUCCUAAGGUAGCGAAAUUCCUUGUCGGGUAAGUUCCGACCCGCACGAAAGGCGUAAUGAUUUGAGCGCUGUCUCGGCAAUACAUCCGGUGAAAUUGAAGUGCCAGUGAAGAUGCUGGCUACCCGCGCCAGGACGGAAAGACCCCAUGGAGCUUUACUCCAGUUUGGCACUGGGGUCCGGUGUUGCAUGUACAGGAUAGGUGGGAGGCUGAGAAACGGU
rnacentral:rRNA from 2 species